CCCUGUGGGGCGUGAUCUAGAAGUGUGCGCGCCUGCGCGAAGGGCUGCACCGUGCGCUGCGUCGUUAAUUUUGCAACGAGUGCUGGGGAGCUGCUGUUGGAGCCAUUGUUGUCGUUGUCUGCCGGAGACAAGUGCGUGCCUUCGUCCCCGGACUCAGUCGUGGCGCUGCAGCUCUCCCGAGAGCAAGGCAUCACCCUCUGCAGGAGCGCCGAAAUCGUGGCUGAGUUCUGAUCAUUUGGAAUCAACAGCAUUUUGCAUCAGCGUGGCAUAUAUCCAUCUGAAACCUUCACUCGGGUGCAGAAAUACGGACUUAACCCUGCUUGUAAUUACUGAUCCUGAGCUCAUAAAAUACUUAAACAAUGUGGUGGAACAACGAAAAGUGCAUGAACAUCCCUAUGGAAUUAAAAUAAGCCAUCUUCCAGCUACUAGGUUCCUGCCUGAGGGACUGGAGGAUUCUGCCUCUGCUUUCAUCCUGAAGCCCAGGCACCUGGCCAGGAACCAACAAGGGAGAGGAUCUGCUUGAUUUUAUUAAUCAAAAACGGCCGCUCACAAGAGCCGUCUUCUGGACAGCGACCAGUGCAGAAUCCUGCAGAGCCUUAAAGGAGCAGCUCAAUUCCAGGGACAAAGUGGAGUGGGAUGGUGAAUCUGUGUGUGGCAGUGGCGGUCUUAAAGGAUUUUCCUGAAAAUAUCCAAGGAAGUGUAUUUUCAUCCAGUCUCUAUGAAAAUGGCUAGCCAUUCCUGAGCAAAGGGAGAGCGAAGAUGAGAAAAUAACUGCCACCCGGAGGUAACGAUGCAACAAUUACUCUACUCUGCUCACACUGAGAAUUACAACCGACAGACUCUUAGGAAAAUAAGCCUGUCAUUUACAGCUUUGACCACUACAAUACUUACCAAAGCCGAAGGGUUUUCAUUUGAUCACACCCAGGAGGCCAGCUUAAAAUACGUGCACAUCUUAACUGCCCUCCUUGAACUCUUUUUCUCUAAGCUUACUCAUACGGACUCCUUGCCCAUUUUACACCUGAAUGUAAGAAACUGAUAGGAAAUGAGGCCCACUGGUCUGAGAGGGUAGCAGACCAGUGCGCCAGUGGUCUGACCCUCCUUUGGCCAAGCACUUAUCUAACCGGAGAAGUUCUUACCUGGCUCAGGAAUUUAACUGAGUCCGACAUUUCUCUGUGCACUCAUACCUGGAGCUCUGCUAGAGUGGGCUGCGUACUUGGUGGAAAAAGUGCUCUGUUCCUUGUCUCUGUGUUUCCCACUUCCUAGGCCAAAUGACUUCCCUCGUUUAAAAGUGCAUUUUUCUGUCUUGAGGCUUUUAGACCAGCUGCUGGGAGCCAAUGCGGUUCUCUUGCGACAUCUUUUCAGAGUAUUACACAACAUUGUGCAGCAGACAACACACACAUGAUGACAGCUUACACUUUAUCACUGAUUAUAGCCCCGAGCCUUCUUUGUCUGCCUAGUCCUUGCAAUGCAGAUAUAGGAAAGGACUUGGAAAAAAGGUAAGGAGAGCUCUUACCUUUAUGCCCUUCAGGGCAGAGUCCCCACCUUGAGUCUGAAACGUGUGGUAGUAAUUCGGACACACCAGUUUUUAAAAGUGCACGCCCUGGAGUGGCGGGCACUUACCAUACUCUAGUGGGGCACAGGACAGUGGGCUGUACAGUGGGAAGUUGAGAGCAGCCGAGUCACUUCCCUCUCUCUGUCCAAGAGAGUCAGUGCUAGACUGACUGAAGCAAUAGAGAGACAAGAGUGGUGUGAUGUGACUCCUGGGCUUUGGAGUUGGGCAAGCCAACUUACAACUCGAGGCCGACUCACUGAAGAUUUGUAAGCUUGGGCAUGCUUUCCAGGCAGCAGUUUCCCCAUUGUGCAAUGGCGAUAACACCUAGGACCUCUCUGACCACUAGAAGCACGUCCUACAUGGGUUAGGCAAUAUGGUCCCACGCACACUGGCCCUCGUCUGUGAGCAGUGGCUCAUUCCCAAGAAUGCUUGGCUACCCUUUCACUUGUGUGCCCACUGAGGAAGCUAGUAAAAGAUUCCGGAGCAUCCUAACGGAGCCCCAACGUGCCCCAUGAGAGCACAGCUCGGCCCCGACUGGGCCAGAGAGCAAGCAUGAGGCACGGCAGUGGGUGCGGAGGGACUGCCCGCAGACAAGCCAACAUGGCUUCUCUCCAGCUGCUUCCUGCCGUCGCAGAGACCACAGAAAUCUCUGCUUCCCAAGUUUAGGGUUCUUCUUCACUUAAUAGGUGAAUGUCACAGGUUUUUGUGUAUUGGAUGCUUCAUAAAUUUUAAUAAGGUGUUUUACAACAUUUGCAUCUCAAUAAACCUGGAAAGAUCUUCAUAAGAAGUUAAGCUUAGUAAGAGACUAUAUACACACAUCUCCACCCCAAGCAUCCUGUGUGACUUCCUUGCAAUUUAUUCUAUCUCCAAAGAUGUAAGCACUGAUAUAAAAAUGUGAGCUAUUAAGCUAGGGUAGAAAUUAUAACUUCUGUUCACACAUUGAAAGUUUUUUGAAAUCUGUACCCAAGUAGUCUUGAAAGUAUCAUUUAUUUCUUAAAACUGGAUUAUGGUUGGUUCUUUUGAAUCAAUUAUUGAUUUUUUUCUCAGAAUUCUUUUAGUUUUUUUAGACCCAAGAUUCACAGGUGAGGUGGGAUUUCUAGCGAUGCCAUGUGAAGAAGAGCGCCCUGUUCUUGCUUGGUUACAGCUUAGUCUUGUGCAAUUUCUCAUUGCAAACUGCCUCGAGAUAUUUGGAGAAGACGUCCCUUCCCCCCUGGGGGAGAGCUCAGGAAUGGUGGUGCCAGUGAGGCUACAGGUACUGUGCAUGAUUCCAUUGGCUUUGGUGAGAAACAGACGGCGAGCGGGUUGCCAGGUUUCAUGGGAGAUGCUCAGACAGUGCUGUUCUGGAGCCUGCAGCGCUUCCCAAGGGCACUGAUUUCCACCUGCUCCUUCUCCCAAAGUCUGGCACACGGGUCAGGGGAGGUUUCCCACCGUUGUGAGACCAAAGAAAAUAUAAGACAAGGUCUCUGACUUGAAGGGGUUGCUAGUACAGAUCGUUAACAGCAUUAGGAGACAUCAUGGCAAGAUUCAGUGUUUGGGAAUCUUUCAAGCAAUGCUUCCCAAAGUACGCCCAUACACAUCAUAAUAGAUGGACUGUGUUUGAAAGUGGAUUGAAAGGCCUAGAGCACAGCCUGUUUGACUCACCCCACACCACCCCUGCCUUUUUCUGCUCUGUGGCCCUUGACGCACCACAAGAUUCCAGUGUUCUCUGAAACAGGCUGGAAAGAACCAGAAUCAUUGACAAAGUCCAACUUGACUUUGUGUCAGUCAAACACCGUUUCCAGAGUGUAAAUACCUGGGCCUCCAUUUACCAGUGUGUUAUCUUGGGCCAGUUACUCUAUCUCAGUCUCAAGUUUCCUCGCCUAUACAUUGUGUAUGAAAAUUUAUGUGUAAAUCUGAGGAUUGUUGUGUAGAUUAAAUUAUAGAUAUAAAAUAAAAUUGGGGGGAAAAAAUAGAAUUUGCCGUAAGACUAAAGUUAAAGUUAUUUGAUCCCAGCUAAUCAUGGCUAACUAGCAGUAGUUUGUUUUAUAAUGUAGUUUUUAGAUUCAGAACCUGCAAAUGUGUAUCAUGCACCCCUUCAUAUUUUGACAUUUCUUAGUUUUAUGAUAGUUACUUCCAUUGCUUCUUGUCAAUUUUUAGGAAAAUACAUUUGAUCAGGGGUUUAGAUUAGUCUUGUAUCUGAGAACUUGCUUAUACUAAUAUAACUAUUUGUUUUUCCUUUCAUCCGUGACAACAAAAGAAUCUUCUUGCAUCUCAACCAGUGACAGUGACAGUGAUUCACAAAUGGCGCAACUAGAGCAUGAUGCCGAGGCCCCACCAAACAUGUUUUACCCCACUUCCUCACUACAUUUUUCCAAGUUACUGAAGAAUUGAGCAUGUGUUCGAAUGCCCGAUACUACCUGUUUCUUUUUUUCCUAUAAUAGCCCACUAGGACAAUUUCCAAAUAUUUGUAGUGUUUGUUAGAGAUCUGGGUUAAAUCCUCAGGUCCUGUCCAGAAUUAAGUGAAUUUCCUGGCAGAUGUAUAAACACAGGUUACCUUAAACUAAGGCAACCAUUUUAGAUCAUUUUUUUUAACACUAAAUUUAAGAAUGAGCAGCUUCCAAAGUCCUAGCUUAUCCCAUUUGGUUGUGAUAAUUGAUCCCAUAUAUCCAUAUUAGAGCAAAUCUUCCCACAAAAUCUCUCUUCCAUCUUCCAUUCCUACCAUAAUACGUAUUUUUUAUCUUGUUGUGGAUAAAAUGAGAGUUCCUGUGGCCAGGAUUCUCACCUGGCCGUGGUUGACUAGCUCACUGCACACCUGUGGGCAAUACAUAUAAAAAGAGCUCUGCCCAGUGCUUUGGGCGCGACGUGGUGGCAGGGCUGCAGGAGAGCAGAGCAGAGGCUGGAGUGGUGGCAGCGCUGAGGACAGAGGCUCAGAGGACGGCUGUGCAGGAUGGCUGUGCAGAGAGGCCCGGAGAACAACUGUGCGGACAGGAGCCCAGAGGCAGAGACUGGCUUGCUGCAUGCAGACUCUCUGUGAGUGAACGGGAUUUUAGUGACUGACCUGCCACCCUGAGAAUAAGGUUGGGUAUAACCCUUUCACCCUAAGAACAUUUUGCUGUCAUUUCUUUGGUCACACUGAAUCCAUAGCAAACUUGUCCAGGGCUAAAACCCAUUGGCAAGACACUUGUGUUGUAUAUUUUUAUAUUCAUGCAAUAAAAAUCAUUCCAUAACA